GAGACAGAGAGACAAGUUCAGUCACACACCACACAGAGACAGAGAGACAAGGUCAGUCACACACCACACAGAGACAAGUUCAGUCACACACCACACAGAGACAGAGAGACAAGGUCAGUCACACACCACACAGAGACAAGUUCAGUCACACACCACACAGAGACAAAGAGACAAGGUCAGUCACACACCACACAGAGACACAGAGACAAGGUCAGUCACACACCACACAGAGACAGAGAGACAAGGUCAGUCACACACCACACAGAGACACAGAGACAAGGUCAGUCACACACCACACAGAGACACACCACACAGAGACACAGAGACAAGGUCAGUCACACACCACACAGAGACAGAGAGACAAGGUCAGUUACACACCACACAGAGACAAGGUCAGUCACACACCACACAGAGACACAGACAAGGUCAGUCACACACCACACAGAGACACAGACAAGGUCAGUCACACACCACACAGAGACACAGACAAGGUCAGUCACACACCACACAGAGACACAGACAAGGUCAGUCACACACCACACAGAGACAGAGAGACAAGGUCAGUCACACACCACACAGAGACAGAGAGACAAGGUCAGUCACACACCACACAGAGACAGAGAGACAAGGUCAGUCACACACCACACAGAAACACAGAGAUAAGGUCAGUCACACACCAGACAGAGACAGAGAGACAAGGUCAGUUACACACCACACAGAGACACGGUCAGUCACACACCACACAGAGACACAGAGAUAAGGUCAGUCACACAAAUCCAAUUUCGAUAAACUCACAUAUCUAUUGGCCG